GCCCAAGUAGCACAAUGGUAGUGCGUUGCUUUCCUAUGUUACUUGACCUAAGAAGGCAAAGGUUGUGGGUUCGAUCCCCAUCUUGGGUU